AGGCUGUGAUGAUGAAUUUAUAUAUACCAUCAAACUAUGAAAGCUAUUACAGCUUGUUGAUGCCAUCAAUAGUCUGAGCCA
rfam:Lupinus angustifolius cultivar Tanjil contig_3955, whole genome shotgun sequence.